rnacentral:rRNA from 1 species
UACGUAGGGGGCUAGCGUUAUCCGGAAUUACUGGGGCGUAAAGGGUUCGUAGGCGGUCUUUCAAGCCAGAAGUGAAAGGCUAGGGCUCAACCGUAGUAAGCUUUUGGAACUGUAAGACUUGAGUGCAGGAGAGGAGAGUGGAAUUCCUAGUGUAGCGGUGAAAUGCGUAGAUAUUAGGAGGAACACCAGUAGCGAAGGCGGCUCUCUGGACUGUAACUGACGCUGAGGCACGAAAGCGUGGGGAGCAAACAGGAUUAGAUACCCCCGUAGUCCCUGAGCGGG